rnacentral:rRNA from 1 species
UGGCGAACGGGUGAGUAACGCGUGAGGAACCUGCCUCAAAGAGGGGGACAACAGUUGGAAACGACUGCUAAUACCGUAUAAGCCCACGGGUCGGCAUCGACCUGAGGGAAAAGGAGCAAUCCGCUUUGAGAUGGCCUCGCGUCCGAUUAGCUAGUUGGUGAGGUAACGGCCCACCAAGGCGACGAUCGGUAGCCGGACUGAGAGGUUGAACGGCCACAUUGGGACUGAGACACGGCCCAG